rnacentral:tRNA from 1 species
GAAGGUAUAGCUCAAGAGGAAGAGCACAUGCUUAGCAUGCAUGAGAGUCCUGGGUUCAAUCCUCAGUACCUCA